UACGUAGGGGGCAAGCGUUGUCCGGAAUCAUUGGGCGUAAAGAGCGCGUAGGCGGCCCAGUCAGUCCGCUCUGAAAGUCAGGGGCUUAACCCCUGAAUGCGGGUGGAUACUGCUGGGCUAGAGUCCGGAAGAGGCGAGUGGAAUUCCUGGUGUAGCGGUGAAAUGCGCAGAUAUCAGGAGGAACACCGAUGGCGAAGGCGGGUCCCUGGGACGGUACUGACGCUGAGACGCGAAAGCGUGGGGAGCGAACAGG
rnacentral:rRNA from 1 species